AAUACAUGCAAGUCGAACGCGUCUCCGUUAAUGAUUUUAGGUGCUUGCACUUGAAAGAUUUAACAUUGAGACGAGUGGCGAACUGGUGAGUAACACGUGGGUAACCUGCCCUUGAAGUAGGGGAUAACACUUGGAAACAGGUGCUAAUACCGUAUAACAACCAAAACCACCUGGUUUUGGUUUAAAAGACGGCUUCGGCUGUCACUUUAGGAUGGACCCGCGGCGUAUUAGCUUGUUGGUAAGGUAACGGCUUACCAAGGCGAUGAUACGUAGCCGACCUGAGAGGGUAAUCGGCCACAUUGGGACUGAGACACGGCCCAAACUCCUACGGGAGGCAGCAGUAGGGAAUCUUCCACAAUGGACGAAAGUCUGAUGGAGCAACGCCGCGUGAGUGAUGAAGGGUUUCGGCUCGUAAAACUCUGUUGUUGGAGAAGAACAGGUGUCAGAGUAACUGUUGACAUCUUGACGGUAUCCAACCAGAAAGCCACGGCUAACUACGUGCCAGCAGCCGCGGUAAUACGUAGGUGGCAAGCGUUGUCCGGAUUUAUUGGGCGUAAAGCGAGCGCAGGCGGUUUUUUAGGUCUGAUGUGAAAGCCUUCGGCUUAACCGGAGAAGUGCAUCGGAAACCGGGAGACUUGAGUGCAGAAGAGGACAGUGGAACUCCAUGUGUAGCGGUGAAAUGCGUAGAUAUAUGGAAGAACACCAGUGGCGAA
rnacentral:rRNA from 1 species